rnacentral:lncRNA from 12 species
CUCAGAGACAAGGAAAUAAAUUACUUUAAUUCAGCUGAGGAUGCGAAGAGCUGCUGUUCAUCAUGGAAGAAGGAGACGUUUGCAUUUUUUGUGAAGCUGCUGCUGCACACUUUCUGCCCUGACCUGGAUGCGCUCAGAUUGCUGCUCCUGGAAUACAGAGAGGAAUAAAUUCUGAUACUCUGGGGGGUGUCCUCCUGGGCAUCAUGCUAAGCUCUUGCAGGAUCAGACCACUGCUUUCAUGCAAGUGAUGGGAAAAGGCACAAUAAUGUAUUUAAAGUACACUUUCAGGAAGAGCUUAUUGACAGGUCCUUAAUAAAUGCUAAAUAAAUGCAUCUUCCAAACAUCAUUGCUGUGUGA